GACGAACGCUGGCGGCGUGCCUAAUACAUGCAAGUCGAACGGAAGGGCCCUGCUUUUGCUGUUUUCUUGUUUGGCGCACGCGUGAGUAUCACGCGUGUAUCCCGCCCCUGUCUUUGUGGUAUCUUUACGAGAAACGGGCUAUAACCCCGUAUGAUAUCUUGCUGCAUGUUGUUCAUUGGUGAGUGUCGGCGGUUGUGUCUCGUCUCGCUGCUUAUCCGCUGGUUUGUGGGGUAGUGGCUUACCAAGCUUUUGACGGGUAGGCGGCCUGAGAGGGUUGCCGGCGACAUUGGGACUGCGGUACGGCCCAGACUCCUACGGGAGGCAGCAGUGGGGAAUAUUGCACAACAGGCGGGAGCCUGAUGCAGCAACGCCGCGUGCGUGAUGACGGCCUUCGGGUUGUAAACCGCUUUCGCAUGUAACGAAGCGUGAGUGACGGUACUGGGUAAAGAAGCACCGGCUAACUACGUG
rnacentral:rRNA from 1 species